rnacentral:rRNA from 1 species
UACGAAGGGGGCGAGCGUUGUUCGGAUUUACUGGGCGUAAAGGGCGCGCAGGCGGCUCAUUUUGUCAGGCGUGAAAGCCCCGGGCUUAACCUGGGAACUGCGUUUGAUACGGAUGGGCUAGAGUUCGGGAGAGGAGAGUGGAAUUCCCAGUGUAGAGGUGAAAUUCGUAGAUAUCGGGAGGAACACCGGUGGCGAAGGCGGCGACCUGGGUCGAUACUGACGCUGAUGCGCGAAAGCGUGGGGAGCAAACAGG